AAAUAAAAUGCCCGAAAAAGGGUUACUUUGAUAGAGUAAAUCGUGUAUUAUAUAUACUUUUAUU
rnacentral:tRNA from 1 species